CUGUACUCAUACUCAAUCUGUGAUGGAAAUGUUGAGGGGGCCAUAAACAUCAGUUCCUGACGAUUGCUCUAGUCUAACCAGUUACCAGGAAAACUUUGACCCGUCUACAUUUAGUGUAAAAUCUGCUAACAGGGCCUGCUGCAGAGAAAUAUCCCAACAGCAUGACGCUGCCAGGACUGUGAUAACCUCGUAAGAAGCUGUAAUUAAUAAGCAUCCAUGCAGCAGUUGUUGUACACACAGCUCACCAAUCUCGACCAUCUUCCAUGUUGUCACU